AUCGCUUCUCGGCCUUUUGGCUAAGAUCAAGUGUAGUAUCUGUUCUUAUCAGUUUAAAAUAGCUCUUACUUUGGUGCAUGCGAGAGCAGUUAGCCAUAAAUUGUAUGUUUAUAUUCAUGUAAAGUAAAUGAUUACUGUAGUUUUU
rnacentral:snRNA from 1 species